rnacentral:rRNA from 1 species
UACGAAGGGUGCAAGCGUUAUCCGGAUUCAUUGGGUUUAAAGGGUGCGUAGGUGGGGCGAUAAGUCAGUGGUGAAAUCCUGCGGCUUAACCGUAGAAUUGCCAUUGAUACUGUCGUUCUUGAGUACGCUUGACGUGGGCGGAAUGUGCCGUGUAGCGGUGAAAUGCUUAGAUAUGGCACAGAACACCGAUAGUGAAGACAGGUCUCUGGGCAUUAACUGACGCUGAGGAGCGAAAGCAUGGGGAGCGAACAGG